AACCUCUUCGGAGACUUCCGUUACAGGAGGUGCUUCUGGUGCUGUUGUUAGAUAAAUGGUGUUUGUGCUAGUUCCUGUCAACUGUUUCCUCCGCUCAGGCACCAAACGUUGAUAGAAAUAUCAAACUGUCAGCUCAUAUAAAUCAGAAAUAAUCUAGAGCCACAUCACUGUCCUGCCAGCAACACAGUUCCUCUGCCAUGGUUAACAACAUCAUGUCAAAGCCUCUCGGGUUAGUUCUGAUCCUCACAGCUCACAUGGUGUUCAACGGGUUUUGCUCCCAUACAGGGCUGAGCCAAGAGAUGGUGGGGAGCCUCGGCGGCAACAUCACCCUUGAAUUCCCAUUUAACUUCAGUGUCAGUGUAACAGGUUUUACAAUUUAUAAAAAAAAAAACUCAACAGACGAAGGACAAAAGAUUGCUGGGUAUUUAAAUGGCAAAAAAGAAGGCAAUCUUACAGUCUACCCUAAAAAUAUGUCUGUCUAUUUUGAAAUGACUAAUCUCAGUCUAAGUCAAAAAGGAAUUUACUGGGCCAGUUUGUUUGUGGACGGCAUCACCGAAAGAAGUAGAAGGAUAGAGCUGGACGUCCGAGUGGAGAACAGAAGCACGGUCCUACAGUAACUACAAAACCUGAACCUGACAGUGGAAAUGCCGGAGUGUCCUCCUUUCCAUUCCUCGCUGUCCUUUUGGUUUCUUCUGUUGUGCUGUUGGCUGCAGUUCUUCCCUUGUUGAUCUGGUGUAUCUUGAGACACAAAGGCAUUGAAAGUGACUGUGCAUCAGUACUUUUCCUCUCUUCAUAUAUUUUACUUGUCGGCCAUAACUUAAAAUUUCAGUAUCUCAGGGUUAUAACACUGACUGCAGUUUUCAUGUAAUGUUGCUACAACAGUAAUUCAAACUAAUCUUAGAUGGCACAGAAGUGACAGCUGAAUUAUGAAAAUCUGAAAUAAAAUGUAAUUGAUGGACCCCAUCGUUAAGAUUCCUUUAAGACAGUCAUUGUUAAACUUCCUGUUUGAAGCGUGCAGUAUUUUUUCAAGAGAGGAAAGAAGAAUAUUUGUUAUCUGUGGAAAAAAAUUGCAAUUGUGUGGUAAGAUGCUAAAAAAUUCUAGCAAGGUUGCAGUUUCACAUCCUUUGAUACACAAUGAUUCCCAGCUUUUGAAGAACUUCCUCCUCCAGUUCCUGCACAUGUCUACUAUCACAAAAAGGCUGUUUUAUUGUGGUUGGAUAAUAAAAGCAACACAAAACAUGGUGUACGAGGUGCACAGGGGAAAUCAUUUCAAUAAACUGUGAUGCAGGAAAUGCGAAAUAACAUCACAGGGGAAGCGAGUGGCAAUAAGUGUGAGCAUCUAUGUUUCUGCAUGAGUCUGAGAGUGUGAGAGAGAAAAGGGAGGUGCGAUCACGUGUCUGUGUUUUGCGAGUUUGCAUCGUACCAUUCAGCCCACAAGGUGGCAUAGAAAAACAAUGAUAAGAAUGGAAUGAUCACAUUUGUUUCUCAAGCAACAGCGUCAGAAAUGUACAAACCUAAAUUACAAUGUAGUUUCUGUAGCAGACAGAAAACUACUUUAGCUCAUGAUAAAUCACCAAGGCAAAGCACAACACCCUCAUUGACUUUGAGUCAUAACAAAGUAAAUGUUUUUACUGUCAGGAAAGCAUCAGUUUAUCUGUUUAAAAUCCUGAUUAUGAUGUUUUGAAUGAGUUGUUUCAUAAAUAACUUGUUUUAACUUUAGGGCCCACUGUGAAUAGGUUAACAUUUCAACUAAGAAAUAUUGCUUCCCCAGUUGAUUAUUUACAUUCAGACAAUGAUCUUUGGUAUUAGAAGUUUUCUGACAGUUUAGGUUUAAAUGUGCAAUGAGACAAUCAUUUGUAUUGCACCAGUCAGUGUCACUGUUUUUCUUUUUGUCCCCCCUACGGCCCCCUUCCUAUUGCAAAGCGUCCUUGGGUAUCAUGAAAGGUGCUAUAUAAGUCCAAGUUAUUAAUAUUAUUAUUAUUAUUAUUAUUAUUAUUAUUAUUAUUAUUAUUAUUAUUAUUAUUAAAUGUGUGCUAAAGAAUAAUGAAUAUUAAAGAAAGACAGGUACAAAUUAUUUGUAUUAUUUUGUUGACAGAUUAGAGUCACGGACGGUUUUUAGAAACUUUGUUUAUCCAAACAUACUGAACAAAAUGAGAAGACUUUAACUUCUCCUAAGCAAAUGGUUUGAGCCUAAAACCAUACAUUUCAGGUGCAAAAUCGAAGACAGAACUCCAACGUAUCCGGUGAGCAUCUCAGGUCUUUAAUUGCGCACAACAGUCACAUUAGUGCAUAAAGAAGAAUAUCUGCUUUUGUGUCAUUUCUGAGAAAACAUUUACAAUAUAUUUAUGGUUAAAGUCAGCAACCAUUGGGGGGUCCUGAUUCACAAAAAUGAAUCAAAUCGGUGUAUUUGUCUUUUUGUUUCUAUAGAAAAGGAAGCUGCGGGCUGCCACUGUGAACAUUUCAAAGCCCUCCAACAUGGCGGUGAUUGACAGGAGGAGCAUGACAUCACCUAGGUGUGUGCCCCUCGGAGCUGAGUCAUCAUCUUUAGUGGUUAAAGACACGGGGUCUUCCUGUGCAGUGAUUUUCGAAGUGAUAAUGUGGAAAGUGAGAACAGACGCUGACCAGCAACUACAGCAACCACUGAAACUAAACAUCCUACAAAGGAAUGAAGGAAUCCCCCUCUGAUACAUGCAGUUUUGUCUAAAAGUCAUACAAUUGUGACUUCAAAGACCCCCACUUCCUCUUGUGUGGUUGAAGUGUCACGUGUGUAUGUGUGUGUGUGUGUGUGUGUUCAAGGUUCAAGGUUCUUUAUUGUCAAUCUG